rnacentral:lncRNA from 1 species
GUAAAUAUCAUUGUAUUCAACAUUCUGGCCUGUAGAGACAAUUGCAUCUUUUUUACAGCGACUUCUUUCAGUCUAUCUGUGGAGUAACCAUGGUAACAGUCUGAUAUUUAGACUGUUAGUUGCCUAUGUUAUGUUUCAGUAGCAUUACUGCCUGUGUGUGUAAGUAGUAGGGUGUGCACGCUCGCGGUUAUGUGGGUUGUUGUGGCUGAAAUGCCAGGGCUGAAUUUCUGCCCCAGUCCGCCCCUGAGGAGGGGUGUGCCCUCACUGACUGUAGUUCGGCAACCUGUGUUAGACUAAUCAAAUAGCCUACAAGCACUCUGAUCUCAUGACUUACUUCCUGGUCGUCUUUUUCCUUCUGUGAAGUGCCUGUGUUAUCGAACCUGCUACUAUGGUUAUUCUAAAAGGAAUACCGUCCAUUCUGUCGCCAGAGCUGCUGUAUGCUCUGGCCAAGAUGGGCCACGGAGACGAACUGGUUCUGGCUGAUACAAACUUCCCUACCUCCUCCACCUGCACCUGCGGUCCCAUUGAGAUCCGAGCUGAUGGACACCGGAAAAGACAAGAGAAAUACUCCAGAUGUGACAGACUGACCCUAGCCCCCCGACACAUAAACUACUGCAGCAUAAAUACUGGAGGCUGAGACAGGAGGGGUCAGGAGACACUGUGGCCCCAUCCGAUGAAACCCCCGGACAGGGCCAAACAGGUCUAGGGGCUGCUGAGCUUUUGGAGGCCAUUUUGAAGUUAUUGCCCCUGGAUACCUACGUCCUCAGCCCGGCUGCCGUGAUGGAGUUGGUGGACAGUGACAAAAAAAGGGGACUAGCCACUCCUGUAUGGGACAUCUUCAGACAGAAGCUGGCACAUGCUGGGGUACAGGCUCCUCUAGAGAAGGUGGAGAGAUUUGCAUUCUAUGAACGAGCCAAGAAAGCCUUUGCUGUUGUAGCAACUGGGGAGACAGCGCUCUAUGGGUGCCUGAUACUGAAGAAGGGAGUCAUCCCGGGUGAACUACUAGAUUGACACACACAAUGAAUGUUAUCGACGGGGCACAACCAAAUUUCGCAUUGCCUAACAAAUUACCUAAGAAUUUGAGUUUGCAUGUUUCUGAGAAACAUCUAGAUUUUCUUUAAAAAUAUAUAUUAUGUUGAUGUCACGAUCCGUCUGAAAUCGAAUAUGCAAUGUAUCAAUUGUAAAUAAACAAUAGUGAUUUUUCUAUUCGUAUUCCAUGUGAAUGAUUAAGUAGAUGUAAGACAGACACAUUACAGUAGAGGUUACAAGUGUCUUUAAUGUUUUAGAAGAUCAACUUAUACAGUACUGGUUAUUAAACAUAAUAAACGGUUAGAUCCAUACAGUGUUAGUUUAUAGACUUCUAUAGAGUCACUCCGAUGUGCAUUUAACCCAUUGCUGUAUGUACAGCUUUUAACUGUAUUUGAUUGGAUGCAGUAGAGCUGUAUCUGACUGUAGAGUUGACAGUCAGUUAGGGGGCAGAUAUCAUGGGUCUUAGGUGUUUAAUUAAUGAUGAUAGAGGUCAUCCAGGUCCUCUUCUGGUUCUCUGUACAUCCUCUGAGAGGGCCGAUCGGCAGACUGCUGCCUGUCCUGGCCAGGUACAGGUACAGGCAGGUCACCAUGGUAGAGGUCAUCCCUGUCUUCCUCUGGCUCACUAUGACCCUUCACCUCUGCCCCUACAGCAGCUAGCUCCCCCUGGUGAGGCACGUCCACUUGGUACUGCCCGUCUCCCCUUUUCAUCUCUGGAUGGUAGAGUUCGUCCCAGUCCUCUUCAGGGUGCCGUGGAUCCACCUGGCCUGAGAAGAGAUGAGAGAUGUUAUCUAGAUCUAUCCCAGCCUCCUGGUAGUACUUGGUGUUAUCCUCCUCAAGGGGCUCUGUCUGGAUGGCCAUCCGAACGAAGGUGUCCUCUGGCUGAGAUCGGGCUCUGGCCAGGUCAGCCUCGUGGGUCUGCUCCAUGGAUGGGUGGUAUAGAUGGUCCAUGUCCUCCUCGGUUGUGGAGUAUCUGCCUUGGACUACCUCUUUUUCUACCUUCUGUCUCUUCCCACCUCCCCCUCUCAUGUUCUUCCAGAUGGCCAUGACAGGGUGGAUAGAUGCAGAUCAACACAGAAAUUCUGAGAGGAAGAGAGACAUGAUGAUCAACUGACUAUUGAUGAUUAUUAACCUGAUUAACUGACAACUGAUUCACUGUGUUCUGAUGUAACGUGUACUAUAUGGCAGUGGUUUUCCCCUGAAAGUACUGGAAGAGGUUCUUACCUGAACAUGUUGUCUCUGUGAAGUGUUCUUCGUGUGUGUUUCUCAGCUGAGAUCAUAGUCUGGGUGAUACACACACCUGUCCUGACACACAAUAGAUCAAAGGUUGUAUAAUAAACUCUGAUUUUGACCUUUGAACUCACCCAGUUAUUCAGAGUUAUUAGUCAUGUUGGCUGUCAUGUUUGGGUUGUGUGGCUAUGUAAUUUGUAUAAGCUGUUUAGUUUUGUGUAUACACUAUGAGAAGUUGUUGUCAUGUGGAAAAUGAAGUCAUAAGUGACAUUUUAACCUCGCCAUCACCACUGCUACACACUAAAGAUUGGCUCUAACUGUUCUUAAUCUGUGAUAGAUUU